rnacentral:rRNA from 1 species
UACGAAGGGGGCUAGCGUUGCUCGGAAUUACUGGGCGUAAAGCGCACGUAGGCGGAUUGUUAAGUCGGGGGUGAAAUCCUGGAGCUCAACUCCAGAACUGCCUUCGAUACUGCGAGUCUCGAGUUCGGGAGAGGGUGAGUGGAACUGCGAGUGUAGAGGUGAAAUUCGUAGAUAUCGCAAGACACCAGUAGGCGAGGCGACUGCUGCCCAGUAGUACGUGGACGACCUGGAGG